ACAUACACACGCCAUAGCAACAAUUUACCUAUAGUUUUAUCUCAUGUAGAAUUCCGUGCAAAAUAAAAGUAAAAAAAACACAGAUGAAAGAUAAAGCACAGUAUUUUCAGUAGAAAUAAAAAGAAAACUGAACUAAUACAAGUACUAAAUACAAACGAAACAAAAAUUCCGGAUUUGAUGAAUCCAAAUACAAUUGAAGAUAUGGGAGAACAUUUGUAGGGCGUCCGAAGGAAGUGUACCCCAAGUACACAAAUAAGACAGCCAUUAUUAUGAUGUGGAACUAUUUUUUAGGUCAAGGUAUGGGUCCUAUUCAUAUCAUUAAGGAUACACUGGCUGGACUAAUUGAAUAAAAGUUAUUAGAUAUAAGUUUUGAAAUACUUAUUGUUAGUUCAUCAAGUAAUAAAGAUACAAUAAAUAAAUGAAAAAAAAAA